rnacentral:rRNA from 1 species
AAUUGAAGCAGAGGACAGUGGCAAACGGGUGAGUAACACGUAAACAACCUGCCUUCAGGAUGGGGACAACAGACGGAAACGACUGCUAAUACCGAAUACGUUCCUUAGGUCGCAUGAUCUUAGGAAGAAAGGGUGGCCUCUACCUGUAAGCUAUCGCCUGAAGAGGGGUUUGCGUCUGAUUAGCUGGUUGGUGAGGUAACGGCCCACCAAGGCGACGAUCAGUAGCCGGUCUGAGAGGAUGAACGGCCACACUGGUACUGAGACACGGACCAGACUCC